UCCCCUUUCCCUGUUCCCUACAGGAAACAGCCCAAGUGCCCAUCAAUUGGAAACUGGAUGAAGAAGAUGUGGUUUUUUAAUACAAUGGAGUACUACUCAGCUAUAAUGAACGUGGAACUGGAGACAUUUAUAGCUAAAUGGAUGCAUAUUGAGGCCAUACUCUUUAGUGAGAUAAAUAGGACACAUGUAUAAAUACCAAAUAGUUCCUCUAGUGUGAGAAACUGAAAGUGUAAAUAAGGAUUAAAAUGAUUAAAACAAAUAAUUGAUAAUUUGAAAUAGGAAAAGGUCCAAAGGUGUAGGGGUGGUGGGAGGGGAAGGGGAAAGGAAAGAAGGGAAAGGAAAAAUUAUGAGAAAAGAAAAAAAUGGUAACGAAAUCUAUGUAAAUAGGGAAGGGUGGAGGAGGUGAAGGGCGCAUAGGUAAUGGGGAAAAAAAUAAGCAAGACACAUCAUGUACAGGUACAAGCAACCAAUGAUAAAUGUAAACGUAUUGUAUACCUAAAAUCUACCAAUAAAAGAAUUAAAAAAAAGAACUUUUUAUUUGAUUAAAAAAUAACACAAACUCACCUUGGUAAAUUUGGAAAAUAUGAAAGGCGUUGAAUCACAUCAAACCCAUCACUCAGGUAUAAUUACCAUUAUUUGAAGUAUUUUCUUUUUUCGAUGUAUAAAUAGAAUCAUUGAUAUAUAAUCAUAAAAUUCUGUAUUCCUUUUUUCCCUUAACAUUGAGGUACACAUAUUUCUCUCAUAUUAUUGAACAUUUUUAGACUACACUAGACAUUCAUUGGUCAAUUUAAGGUUAUUUGAUUCUUGACAUGGCUGGAUAUUUUGUGUUUCUUAAUCAAUGCUUCAUAAAGAAUCCUUUUAUCUUUGUUUAUUAAAAAUAAAGUGUACUUAUUGUGGCUACAGGGUGAGAGCUGUUGGAAGGCAAUCAAGAUCUACAUGUUUUAUGUUAAGGAAAAUGUAAUCAGAUAUCUGGCACUGCCUCUUCUGCUUUCUAUUUAUGUCCUGUGCCUUUUCUUUUUUCUCCUAGAGGACUAAAAUCAUAGAAGUAGUUAAACCUCAGUACUGGGGCAAGUUUUACAAAUCUGGAGGUUUUAGUUCAAGCUGAUGUUGCGUAUAAAUGUACUGUGUAUCAGAGCUAAAUCACCCCUGAUACCACUGAAAUGUUUGUAUCCUUUCUUCCCAUGACAUCAGACCCCCACUAGUAGUCACUGAGGAUAUGAAGGAGUUAGGAUUGGAGGGCAGAAUGACAUGUUCUUUAUGCACCUGUGUCAGAGGCAGCACAGAGAAGGUUGGGGUUUACAAUCCAAUAACGUAUUUUCUAGGGAAGGCUAAAUAUCAAGGGCAAAGACUUCAGUAUACAAGGAAGAACUUCUGCUUUUGCACAGUAACAGCCCCAAGUUCAAAUGACUUCAUUUGCUACACGUACUCUGUCGGUUACAUGAAGAGGGUAAUGUAAGUGGAAGGGAACCUGUGUUGACAUGUGUCUGUCUCUUCUAGGAGCUGAGGUUGUCCUAUAAUAGUUAAUCAAGAUCACCAUCAACAUUAAAGGUGAAUGGAUAAAGCAAAUGUGGUAUUUACAUACAGAGAAGUACUACUGUGCUAUAAAGAUAACCUUGAGUCAUUUGUAGGAAAAUGGAUGCAACAUGAGACCAUAUUG
ensembl:lncRNA